CACCUGCGCCACAAGUGGCGAUCGCGUUUAUUGGGUCUAAAGCGUUCGUAGCAGGUCAACUAAGUCUUUUGUGAAAUUGUUGAGCUUAACUUAACAGCAUGCAAAGGAUACUAUUUGACUAGAAACCGGGAGGGGACAGAAGUAUUCUAGGGGGAGCGGUAAAAUGUUAUAAUCCCUGGAGGACUACCAGUGGCGAAGGCGUCUGUCUAGAACGGGUUUGACUGUGAGGAACGAAGGCCAGGGGAGCAAAACG
rnacentral:rRNA from 1 species